rnacentral:rRNA from 2 species
UAGGGAAUCUUCGGCAAUGGGGGGAACCCUGACCGAGCAACGCCGCGUGAGUGAAGAAGGUUUUCGGAUCGUAAAGCUCUGUUGUUAAGGAAGAACGAGUGUGAGAAUGGAAAGUUCAUGCUGUGACGGUACUUAACCAGAAAGGGACGGCUAACUACGUGCCAGCAGCCGCGGUAAUACGUAGGUCCCGAGCGUUGUCCGGAUUUAUUGGGCGUAAAGCGAGCGCAGGCGGUUAGAAAAGUCUGAAGUGAAAGGCAGUGGCUCAACCAUUGUAGGCUUUGGAAACUGUUUAACUUUAGUGCAGAAGGGGAGAGUGGAAUUCCAUGUGUAGCGGUGAAAUGCGUAGAUAUAUGGAGGAACACCGGUGGCGAAAGCGGCUCUCUGGUCUGUAACUGACGCUGAGGCUCGAAAGCGUGGGGAGCGAACAGG